GUCUCAACAGUGUUGGAGGCGCAGGUUACAAACAGUCUCCUGAUGGAGAGAAGCAAAGAGCGGAUGAUGCCGGAGGCUGAGGAAUCUCAUUACUAAUAUCUGCCCAACAAGGAUCGCAGUUAGAUUUACGUGCUGAGAAAUCAAGUUAUCAUUGAUGUUCUAGACUCUCAGGCCACUGCAACAUAGGAAUUAAAUGAGCAACAGAACUGCCUGAAAUCAGAAGGUUUCUGUGUAUCCUGUCCUGGGCUACAAACACUGCGUGGUGCUCCAGAAGUCCUGGCUCACUGUCAGCAGCAUCUCUGGUGGCAACAGCAAACCAGGGCUUCACAGCUUUAGAAAACACCAUCUUUCUAGACUGUGUUUCAUUUAUUUUUAAAGCUUCUGUAGUAAUCCUCUAAUUGCCUUAUGGAGAGUAGAUGCACUACUUUAUUUUUUUAAUUCUCUAUACGAGGGACUCGUAAUUGAGCAUUACUGUAAUAUUUAAAUAAAUAAUAACAGAUUUGACAAUCAUAAUCAUAAUCAUA
rnacentral:lncRNA from 1 species